ACUCCUACGGGAGGCAGCAGUGGGGAAUAUUGCACAAUGGGGGCAACCCUGAUCCAGCCAUGCCGCGUGAGUGAUGAAGGCCUUAGGGUCGUAAAGCUCUUUCGCCUGUGAAGAUAAUGACGGUAGCAGGUAAAGAAACCCCGGCUAACUCCGUGCCAGCAGCCGCGGUAAUACGGAGGGGUUAGCGUUGUUCGGAAUUACUGGGCGUAAAGCGCACGUAGGCGGAUCGGAAAGUUGGGGGUGAAAUCCCGGGGCUCAACCCCGGAACGGCCUCCAAAACUAUCGGUCUAGAGUUCGAGAGAGGUGAGUGGAAUUCCGAGUGUAGAGGUGAAAUUCGUAGAUAUUCGGAGGAACACCAGUGGCGAAGGCGGCUCACUGGCUCGAUACUGACGCUGAGGUGCGAAAGUGUGGGGAGCAAACAGGAUUAGAUACCCUGGUAGACUGUC
rnacentral:rRNA from 1 species